AUUGCUGCGUUCAAGUGGGAAACCUUACAGCUCAAUUUAGCUGACAAGGCGAGCUGGGACACUGUAUUUCUCUGGAGAAUGCAGAAACAGCUCCUGCUGGAUAUCUAGGCUACUAGAAAAGAAGCAUAGUCUAUCUUAGCAUCUAUGAAUGAAGUUUGAACAGUAUGUAUUAAUUAAUUAAAAGGACUUGUCUUUGUUUUAAGUUUUGUUGUGCUACCAAUAAGAUUAGAUCAUUAGUUUGGACAAAACCUGUGUUAUGUAUGCCUUCUUUGGUCUUCGAAAAGCUUCUCAGAAGCCUUGGGGUAGUCUUAUAGCUGGCUGUACCUCUCCUUGUGCUAGAUGUCUAACUAUUAUGAAAAAGUUUAUUUCUGCCUGUACUAAAUCUUAUAUUACAGGCUACAGUAUUCUUCUACUUUCUCUAAGAGUCUGAGGUCUUUCUUGAAUUCCAAAACAACUAUAGCUAGAUCCAGUCAGCUAGAAUAGCCAUCCAAAUAGUUAAUUGAUUUCUUUAUAUCGCACCCCUGAGCCAUGCGGUUGUCAGCCACUUAAAGAUUAAACAAUAUUCAUACUCUGUCUCAAGUACCGGUGGAACAAAACUGCUACAUGUACUGAUACCCAACCCAGAGCGCAGCGUUGGUUGGACUCCGCCCAACUAAACGUCUACAAGGGGUACCUGGUAUCUAUAGAUCUUGCUGCCUUCCCCUUGGACGAGCGUGCACUGCGUAUGCACUGUACUGCUGAUCUUAGAAGGCUGAAGGAGAUGGUGCAUCUGAGCCAGCUUAUAGUAUUAAAGUAUAGUACUGCUAUAGUAGAUCUACUGCUGUAGGACUGGUCCCACUUCUCUGCGAGCAUUGUGGCACAAAGGUUUUUUCAUAUAUAGUACAGUUCAGAGUUGUACAUGCUGGCUGGUAGGUACAUUGUACAAGGUGGAUGAUGGCUUUAUCAGAGGAGCUGGUCAAGGACUGGAGCACCAAAGGCCAUGACAAGGCCCUUGCUUUAUUCGAGGACGUACUCUCCACUGGGACACAUGGAACCGACUGUGUGGAGUUGCGUGGCAUGCUGUACGACCUGCUCAAGCACUGUGUGACUGGGGCACUAGACGGACAGGAUGUGGCCACCUUUAUCUCAGAACUCACAUCUAUAUACAUGCUGAGACGAUCAGCAAUGAGAACAAGGAUGAGAGGACUGCAUUUGUUUCUGUGAUAACCGCUCUUAUGGCACGUACUUUAAACUAACAAGGGGACAGACACUCCAUUUCUUCUAUUAUAAUAAAGCCUCUGAUUGAUUGUUUUCUGCCUCCUCAGAAAACUGUUGGAGAGCCGCUGCUGAAAGAACGACUAGAGAUGGAAACACUGGAGCAAGUCAGUCUGGUCCCUUCAGCUAGGAAUUUCAAUCAGAAAUAUGUCAAGACCAAAACAAAGUUAUUCUACAAGCAGCAGAAGUUUAAUCUGUUCCGAGAGGAGAACGAGGGCUAAUCUAAGCUGGUGGUGGAGCUGGGUCACGAGGAGAGGCCACUGGCAGCUGCUCCAGCCAUGCUUGACAAUAAUUAUAAUGCUCUUCUCAUUGGUCAUUUAUGAAAUACAUAGGGGUAGCUUGCAGCUCCAUAACCAUGGCUAUCAAUGGUCGUUUCAACAUUGAUCCUAACCGAGUGCUGGAUGUUAUCCUGGAGGCAUUUGAAUUUUCCGGGAAUAAUCACUUCCUCCAAGUGGAAAAGAAUAUCCUCACAAACACUUUUGAGCAGAUAGUACUGGCCUUCUUUAUCAUUCUUGCCCUCACCGUACACCUUGAGGACUCUGAGAUGAAGCUGGUACCUAUCUACAUUUUGAGCUUCAUUACUGGAAGAGUUCUCUUUAUCAGUGGAUACAAGAUUGGACCGAAAUUUCGAUCGUGUGGUAUGUUGACGAAUAUAGUAAGUACAUUCCUGAUGCUCGGAGUGAUAUGAUACACUAUUUAUUCUCGUGGACUGCUGGCUGCAAGCACUGGAAAAGACGAACUGUAAAACAAAUUAAUUUUAUCUGAGAACAGUAAUUUGAGUGUGUUAAUUGAUGAUUGGUGUGUUUGCUCUCUGAUUGCAGGUGAUAUACUCAUUCUUGCUUUAACUAUGUAUUGAUCUUUACCAUUUCACACUACAGUAAAUUUAUUUGUAUGUGCUUCUUUGUUGA